UACGUAGGGUGCGAGCGUUAAUCGGAAUUAUUGGGCGUAAAGCGUGCGCAGGCGGUUCGUUGUGUCGGCGGUGAAAGCCCCGGGCUCAACCUGGGAAUGGCCGUUGAAACUGGCGAACUGGAGUGUGGCAGAGGGGGGUGGAAUUCCGCGUGUAGCAGUGAAAUGCGUAGAGAUGCGGAGGAACACCGAUGGCGGAGGCAGCCCCCUGGGCUGACACUGACGCUCAGGCACGAAAGCGUGGGGAGCAAACAGG
rnacentral:rRNA from 1 species